CCGUUAUAACCGGCGAUACCCGAAUGGGGAAACCCAGUGUGACUCGUCACACUAUCAUUAACUGAAUCCAUAGGUUAAUGAGGCGAACCGGGGGAACUGAAACAUCUAAGUACCCCGAGGAAAAGAAAUCAACCGAGAUUCCCCCAGUAGCGGCGAGCGAACGGGGAGGAGCCCAGAGCCUGAAUCAGCAUGUGUGUUAGUGGAAGCGUCUGGAAAGGCGCGCGAUACAGGGUGACAGCCCCGUACACAAAAGCGCAUGUGCUGUGAGCUCGAUGAGUAGGGCGGGACACGUGGUAUCCUGUCUGAAUAUGGGGGGACCAUCCUCCAAGGCUAAAUACUCCUGACUGACCGAUAGUGAACCAGUACCGUGAGGGAAAGGCGAAAAGAACCCCGGCGAGGGGAGUGAAAAAGAACCUGAAACCGUGUACGUACAAGCAGUGGGAGCACCCUUCGGGGUGUGACUGCGUACCUUUUGUAUAAUGGGUCAGCGACUUAUAUUCUGUAGCAAGGUUAACCGUAUAGGGGAGCCGUAGGGAAACCGAGUCUUAACCGGGCGUUAAGUUGCAGGGUAUAGACCCGAAACCCGGUGAUCUAGCCAUGGGCAGGUUGAAGGUUGGGUAACACUAACUGGAGGACCGAACCGACUAAUGUUGAAAAAUUAGCGGAUGACCUGUGGCUGGGGGUGAAAGGCCAAUCAAACCGGGAGAUAGCUGGUUCUCCCCGAAAGCUAUUUAGGUAGCGCCUCGUGAAUUCAUCUCCGGGGGUAGAGCACUGUUUCGGCUAGGGGGCCAUCCCGGCUUACCAACCCGAUGCAAACUGCGAAUACCGGAGAAUGUUAUCACGGGAGACACACGGCGGGUGCUAACGUCCGUCGUGAAGAGGGAAACAACCCAGACCGCCAGCUAAGGUCCCAAAGUCAUGGUUAAGUGGGAAACGAUGUGGGAAGGCCCAGACAGCCAGGAUGUUGGCUUAGAAGCAGCCAUCAUUUAAAGAAAGCGUAAUAGCUCACUGGUCGAGUCGGCCUGCGCGGAAGAUGUAACGGGGCUAAACCAUGCACCGAAGCUGCGGCAGCGACACUCAGGUGUUGUUGGGUAGGGGAGCGUUCUGUAAGCCUGUGAAGGUGGCCUGUGAGGGUUGCUGGAGGUAUCAGAAGUGCGAAUGCUGACAUAAGUAACGAUAAAGCGGGUGAAAAGCCCGCUCGCCGGAAGACCAAGGGUUCCUGUCCAACGUUAAUCGGGGCAGGGUGAGUCGACCCCUAAGGCGAGGCCGAAAGGCGUAGUCGAUGGGAAACGGGUUAAUAUUCCCGUACUUGGUGUUACUGCGAAGGGGGGACGGAGAAGGCUAUGUUGGCCGGGCGACGGUUGUCCCGGUUUAAGCGUGUAGGUGUGUGUUCCAGGUAAA
rnacentral:rRNA from 1 species